CUACCAGCAAUGGGCGGAGUCUCCACGCUGCAUCCUGUUCUCCCCGACACAUGCCCAGUAUACCAGAAUAAUGAUGAGAUAUGCGGUUUGGGCGCGUUAGUUUAAACAAAAGUCGCUUUUGGCUCAAAACUUCUAAAAAACCAAAACGUAGUAAUGUAAAUGUAGCCUCGCACUCCCAUUACACACGAACACCACACUGCUUUAAUGUUGACAUGUUUGAGAUGUGACAGACGGGUGAAUCCCCUUUUUUCCAGAAGUCAAUCAAAGGGUAUCCCCGUGCGGAGGGGUAGGGCUGGGUACUCAUCCUCAAUACUGUUUUGGUAUCCUUAGCAUGGAAAAAAUUAGCAUAAAUAAUCUGGUUAGAUCUGUGAUCUUGUUUACUGUGAUUUGUAAUUUGUUCAGAUUCCCAUUUCAACCAAAGUCUUGUUAGUUUUAGACUUUUAAUUAAGCCACGGUUAUAGAAUGUGUGCUUGUGUUCAGACAUUUAACACUUCAAAAAUGUGGCUUCUUUUGUCGAAUGAAAGGAGGAAAAACAACAGUUGAAAACCAUGUUUUGUAUUUCUCACAGUAACGCACCGAAACCCCAGUUUCAGAUCCGCACUUUAGUCAGAACAAGUUCAAAUGAGACCCAGCCCUAGUCGAGAGUGGCGGGAUGUGCUGGACCAAAAAUGUCUUAGAAAUGUUUCAAUAGAUCUGUCAAGUUGUAACAUUUCACGUUGUUGAUUUUUCAGCCCAGAGCUACUCAUUGGGCCUCAUGCAAUAAUGUCUUAUUCUUAUCUUAAACUUCUCUGGCUUUUUUUUCUGUAAAGUUUUGUCAUGCAAGUGUUCCAAGUCAAAUUCACCAAACAAAAACUGGUUUUUAACUUGAUGAAUAUCCUCUGAGAUUUCGUGAGAAGGGAUCAUUAACAAUCAACGGCCCUAAAAUUGCCACCUAAGUCUGCCUGUUUCACAAAUCCUGCUGUCAGAAAUCAGCCGACAAAAACACUUCCAACUGAGCAGAGCCAGCAGUUGUGUUCAAUGACCCGAAACGGUAAAAGUCUUAAUUAAUAGUGCCGCCGACGGUCGAGCCAUCAGAGCAGAAUCAUAUUGUCACAAAAAUAAAGAGGGAAUGGUUUGACAGGUUUUUUAUAAAGACCAGGACCUGUACAAACCCCUGAUUGAGAGAUAAAAUAUUCCAAUUUUUUUUUAUUAUUUGUAAUAUGGUGAA